rnacentral:rRNA from 1 species
AUUGAACGCUGGCGGCAUGCUUUACACAUGCCAGUCGAACGGUAACAGGCCUUCGGGUGCUGACGAGUGGCGCACGGGUGAGUAAUGCAUCGGAACGUACCCAGAGGUGGGGGAUAACGCAGCGAAAGCUGUGCUAAUACCGCAUGUGAUCUGAGGAUGAAAGCGGGGGACCGAGCAGCAAUGUUUGGCCUCGCGCCUUUGGAGCGGCCGAUGUCGGAUUAGCUAGUUGGUGGGGUAAAGGCCUACCAAGGCGACGAUCCGUAGCUGGUCUGAGAGGACGACCAGCCACACUGGGACUGAGACACGGCCCAGACUCCUACGGGAGGCAGCAAUGGGGAAUUUUGGACAAUGGGCGCAAGCCUGAUCCAGCAAUGCCGCGUGCGGGAAGAAGGCCUUCGGGUUGUAAAACGCUUUUGGCAGGAACGAAACGGUGUCCGCUAAUACCGGGCGCUAAUGACGGUACCUGCAGAAUAAGCACCGGCUAACUACGUG